rnacentral:rRNA from 1 species
UACCAGCUCUCCGAGUGGUAGGGAUGUUUAUUGGGCUUAAAGCGUCCGUAGCCGGCUUAGCAAGUCUCCUGUUAAAUUCAGCGACCUAAUCGUUGAGCCGCGGGAGAUACUACUAGGCUAGGAGGCGGGAGAGGUCAACGGUACUUCCGGGGUAGGGGUGAAAUCCUAUAAUCCCGGGAGGACCACCAGUGGCGAAGGCUGCUGACUAGAACGCGCUCGACGGUGAGGGACGAAAGCUGGGGGGAGCGAACCGGAUUAGAUACCCGGGUAGUCCCAGCUGUAAACGAUGCGAGCUAGGUGUUGGGGUGGCUACGUGCCACUUCAGUGCCGCAGGGAAGCCAUUAAGCUCGCCGCCUGGGGAGUACGGCCGCAAGGCUGAAGCUUAAAGGAAUUGGCGGGGGAGCACCACAAGGCGUGAAGCUUGCGGUUC